GAUGAAGAAUGCAGCGAAAUGCGAUAAGUAAUGUGAAUUGCAGAAUUCAGUGAAUCAUCGAAUCUUUGAACGCACAUUGCGCCCCCUGGUAUUCCGGGGGGCAUGCCUGUUCGAGCGUCAUUUCACCACUCAAGCCUCGCUUGGUAUUGGGCAACGCGGUCCGCUGCGUGCCUCAAAUCGACCGGCUGGGUCUUCUGUCCCCUAAGCGUUGUGGAAACUAUUCGCUAAAGGGUGUUCGGGAGGCUACGCCGUAAAACAACCCCAUUUCUAAGGUUGACCUCGGAUCAGGUAGGGAUACCCGCUGAACUUAAGCAUAUCAAUAGCGGAGGA
rnacentral:misc_RNA from 1 species